rnacentral:lncRNA from 1 species
CAAGCUGCAAGGCAAAGCAGACAAAAGCCUGUGUUUCAGAACCAAGUAAAAGAAAGUGUGUCAAGCUUGGAGGCUGGAAGGAAAAUCAGGGAAAAGGUCCUGACAAGGUCACUUGAAAGCAAGCAUAUCAAGAUUUAUGUGGAGCCAGAAUUAUUCGGGAAAAAAAAUUAAAACAUCAACUAUCAGGCUGACGAACCUCUGUGGAGCAUUGAAGCCGAAAAAGUAUUUAAGUGGGGAGCAGCAGAGAGGCAUGAGUGAUCUCAUAUGAACUCCUGAUGUGUUCAAAGGAAAUCUCAGGGGGCUGAUCCGGUAAUCCGAUGGCCAGGGUUGCCUAUGGUAGGCCAUAAAGACUAACCAGAGGCUUC